UUAACUUUAUUAUUAACUUUAAAAAUUAAAUAAUCAUAUUUUCUCUUCUAACUAAAUCAAUUCUUAAGCAAAAUACAAUACUAAAUUCUCUCAACCUCAAAUCUCCUAGCCGUAUCUUUGUUCUACCGACGCCAGUGAUUUUCCGGCUUACUGCUCCCUUCCGAAAUGAUCCUCUCCUUCCCCUCUUUCCUUUGAUCAGACUAGAUUUCCAAGGAACUCCCCCAAACCCAUUGCAUUUCUAACCAGAAAGCUAGGAUUCAACAUCUUCUUCCACCAUAAGGGGAUUGUCAAAGAAGACACCUUUCCAACAAAGUCUUUGUCAAUCGACAGUGGGUGAGACAUCAUUUUUUCUUUUAGUUGCUUCCCUUCGUUUUUUUUUUUAGUUGUUUCAAGUUCGUUUGGUUUCUAAUAUGAGAUUAUUCUGGUUUUGGGUUAUUGAUUUUUUUAUUCUGGCUCUGUUGGAUGUUGUGGGAUUUGAGUGAGGGAGCGGUUGGCUUGGUGCUACUUUUGAUUGAAAGUUGUUGAAUUAAAUUGGGGGUUUAUUAUUCAAUUCAUAAUCUUUUCAUUUUUUAAAGCUUUUUCCAAAAACAAACCUUGGUGCUUCUCUCGGGAUUAUUAUGGUUUUGGGUUGUUGAUUUUAUAUUUUGAUUGAUAUGUAGUAUUUGGGUGAAGGUGGGUUUGGUUUGGUGUUGGUUUUGAUCGAAAGGCGAUGAAUUGAAUCUCUCAAGCCCACAGCUGCAUACUUUAAAAUGCCUGUCGUCAGUGAGAAAUUCCCGUUAGGUAUUGGAGCAUCUCCUUUUUUAUGCACAAGGUUCAUCCUCCAAACGAACGAUAAUACUAAGAAAAUGGAUUGCAUAUUCUCAUCCAUCACCACAUAUCCUUUCAUAACUUUGAGAGGAAAACUACAACAGAGCAUUUGUGUUACUAACCUGGCGCAUCCCAACACAAGAAUUUGCUAUAGCAAGCAACCCAAGAACUGAAACCGACAUGUCCACUGACACUGAACAAAUAAAGUCAAUUUACGGUCACAAUAGUGAUUCACCUGAAGAAGAAGACGACAAAGAAGAUCAUGUGAAUAUUGAUCUUGCUUGGGAAUCAGAUGAGGUUGAAGCCAUAUCUUCACUUUUUCAGGGAAGAAUUCCUCAAAAUUUGUAUGGAAUGAACAGGGCGACGGCAGGAUUAACAAUAAAUAGCCAUGGACGGAUGGAAAGACAGGAGACCAGAGACCGAAAGAAAAAUAAACAAAAUUCAAACAAAGAAGAAAAAGAGGUAAUGCUUUCUUCAAUAUCAGAGGACGAUCAUAAAAUAAACAGCUGAGGAUUUUGAUUCAUCACAGCUAGAAAAACUUGAGUUACUAACAAAACUUUAGGAGCGAAGAAACUGAAAAACAAAAAUAAAAGAACCAAGAUGUUAUCGAGGAAUAUCGGGAAACAAACAAAUUGGGAAAAUCGAGAAGGAUCGGAGGAAGAUAAAACGAGGAACCUUGAUGAUUCUUCGAGGUAGAUUACUGUUGUCAAUUGGCAAGCUUCAAAUGAUGAAUCAAAAAGGGAAAUCAACAAAAAUGUAAUCAGGGUUUUGAGAAUUGGGAGAUAGAGAGAAAAAAUCCGAGAACUAAGAAAAACACUCUUUCCCUU